rnacentral:rRNA from 1 species
GCGUGCGCAGGCGGUUAUGUAAGACAGAUGUGAAAUCCCCGGGCUCAACCUGGGAACUGCAUUAGUGACUGCAUAGCUGGAGUACGGCAGAGGGGGAUGGGAAUUCCGCGUGUAGCAGUGAAAUGCGUAGAUAUGCGGAGGAACACCGAUGGCGAAGGCAAUCCCCUCGGGCCUGUAACUGACGCUCAUGCACGAAAGCGUGGGGAGCAAACAGGAUUAGAUACCCUAGU